CCUACGGGUGGCUGCAGUGGGGAAUAUUGGACAAUGGACCAAAAGUCUGAUCCAGCAAUUCUGUGUGUUUGAUGAAGGCCUUCGGGUUGUAAAGAACUUUAAGUAGGGAAGAAGAAAGUGACGGUACCUACAGAAUAAGCGACGGCUAAAUACGUGCCAGCAGCCGCGGUAAUACGUAUGUCGCAAGCGUUAUCCGGAAUUAUUGGGCAUAAAGCGCGUCUAGGCGGUUUACUAAGUCUGAUGUGAAAAUGCGGGGCUCAACUCCGUAUUGCGUU
rnacentral:rRNA from 1 species